rnacentral:tRNA from 1 species
GGUUGCGGCUCAGUGGCAGAGUGCUUGCCUAGCAUGUGUGAGGCACUGGCUUCGAUCCCCAGCACCA